rnacentral:lncRNA from 1 species
CCAAAACUGUGAAAAUGCAUUUUUUUCAAAACCACAAAACUCACAUUUUGGCCAAAACCUUAAAAUGCAUUUUUCCGUAAAAACAAUAAAAACUCACUCUUCAGCCAAAACCGUAAAGAUGCAUUUUUCGUAAAAACCGCAAAAAACACAAUCUUCAGCCAAAACCGUAAAAAUGCACUUUCCGUCAAAUCCGUGAAAACAAAAUUGUCCGCUAAAACCGUAAAAACACACUUUCCGUCAAAACCGUGAAAACGCACUUUUCUGCCGAACCUUAAAAAUGCUCUUUUCGGCUAAAACCAUAAAUCAUACUUUUCCAUCAAAACCGC